rnacentral:lncRNA from 1 species
GUUUUACGUAGUUCUCACAACAGCUCCGUGAGGAAGGAAGUAUGAUUGUUGUCCCCAUUGUACAGCUGAAAAGACUGAGGCUUGGGGCAGGUCAGUAAACCGCCUGUGGUCUCACUGAUAGCCAGUGGUCCAGAUGGAACUCGAAUUCAGUCUAGUUCUGUGGUUCCUGCUUUUUAACCACAUUCUCCUGCCCCGGGGAAGAGAAGCUGUGUGGAGCACCUGCAAUGCACCUGGCACUUAACACACAUUAUCUCAUUUAAUCCUAGUCACCUGGGAGGUUGAUGUUUAUCUCCUUUUUACAAAGGAGGCUACUGAGGCCCAGAGAGGUGGAGCGACCUGCCCCAGGCCCACAGCAUAGGAGUGAAAGUGGCAUUCAGGCAGGGCUUGAUCCAAGCAGCGUCCAUCCAGCAGCAGCGUCCUGUUGCUUCCAGGUGACGUCUUGGGCUCUGAGGCGCUUUCCCGCCCUCUGCCGAUGUCCUGUCAUUCUGCCCUCAGCCUGCUCCCAGGUCCACAUCUCCCCCGGAAAAGCAGAGCCCUGGGAUCCCAGGCCCCAGCGGACUUCCCACGCAGCCCGGCUGCCAGUCACGAGGCGCCACGACAAGUCUGUCAGGAGUCCUACGACAGCAGUCUUUCACCUCCUGGCCUUUAGAGGAAUGACGACUACUUGCUGUCUUACAGUCAGAUUUUUUUUUAAUUUGUUUUUCCUAAAGGGGAAAACUGAAAGCCUUUCUGAUUCCACUCAGUCCCUGGAGGGAGGCUGGCGAGCAGAGGGCUAUUUGGCUGGGUGCUCCUCUCCCGCGUGGCCCGACUCCUCGGAGCUGGAUGGCAGAAUCAGAGAAAUGAGUCAACAGGUCCCGUGAAGACUGACAGCAGCCUGAGCUCCGGGAAACACGGAUCGUUUGGGGUCGUGUAAGAGGCAGCCACCACACCGUCGUGUGAACUCUAGAGUCCCCAGAUGACACAACUCUAAACAGGUUAGGGAAUUUUAUUUCAAAACACCAUCAUCUCCAUGUUUCUACUUGAAUUUCCUUCAGAUGCAGAGAUGGCCCUUUCUUUGAUCUGUCUAUAUUGUUUCCCCACUUUUUCCCUUUCUUGCUUUCUGUGUUGUAGUCUUUGCUUUUUUUUUUUGGCACAAUCUUUCUUCACAUGGGGUAGAUGGGACCUGUUUUCCAUCAGCAGAGGAGUCAUUUCAUCCUGCAACAGAAGGCUCCCACUGGGUUUGUUAACACGGCAGCUGGGCGUGUGACACUUGUUUGUUGUUCUCUCGUAUGCUGUGCAUUCUUGAUUUAGGGAAAUUAGGAAAAGGAUGAUGUUUCAGACACAACAGCUCCUGAGUUGCUACUCUGCUCCUUGCGUCUUCACGGAGAUCCUGUCUGAGAUGGACGCUCUGUCGUGUUUACAGGUGUGGCUACUGGCAGGUAACUCCAUCGAGGUCAUGUAGCCGGUUAAGUUAUCUCAAUAGGACCUAAGAGCAGAUUGUUUGGGGGGUGCUGGUGAGAGAGACGCUAAAUCCAUCCUCAUUUCUACUUACUUCUGCCUCGUAUUUAACUUAUUUCUCUGUUUAAUGCCACUGCUUGAACUAUUGCCUCCAACCGAGUUUUUCCUAAUUUGGACUUCAAAAAACACCCCCUUCCAAAAAAUUAAAAACCUUAGUUCUUUAUUCACAGUAGAGCUGGUAUUUAUAUUCUCCUUAAUUAUGCCUCCGUGUUUCUUCAGAAUGUUAUUGAGCAAGAGAGAAAAAUUGAAUCUGCCUUAACCAUAAUCCUUGGCUCAUGGAAUGGAUAUCGUUCCUCUAGAGUGGACCAACGAGGGGAUUUAGCAGGCUAAUUGACAGUCU